UAGGCAUUUGGUAACAUUCCUUAAUUUUAUUUAGCAUUAGCAAUUAAAUAAUAAUGUUCUAAUCCACCGAGCUAUAUAUACAUAGGAUGAAUCGGGAAGAACGCACCAGCCACCAAACACCAGCGUAAGUCCAGUCGUUAUCCACUAUGUUCAAGUACAAAAAAUAGAUAUCCAAUGGAUAGCCGAUUUUGGACAUCCACGUGUAUUACUAUUACACAGACCUUAGAACAUUGAAAGGACACAGGCUGUUGGAUUCAAAAGGACGAAACUAAGUCAAAACCGUUGGAAUUAUAAUAGUCGAGAAGCCGAGAUAUCGACCUGCAAAGUUUAGGAUUUUUCAUUUUUCAGGUAUACGGUAUCAAAUUUUUCCACCAAACAUUGAUUUAAAAAUUUAAUUUUGGCUUAAUCUUAUCACCUACAUCACGAAAACACCGGGUUAUAACGGGAUUCGAUCAGAACUAAGGGAAUGAGAGCACUUUGAACAUUACGAAAAAAUCAUUUUUUGACCACGUUUUUGAGCUCAAAAUGCGAUAUCUCGGUUAAUAUGAGAGCUACGACCUUGCAGAUAAUCUGGUUGGAAUCAGAAGGACGAAACUAAGUAAAAACUGUUGGAAUUUUCCCAAUAGUGCAAAUAGAAGCCAAGAUAUCGACCUCCAAAAUUUGGGAUUUUUUAUUUUUCAGCUGCUUCCGAACACCAAAGUGGGGCAGUCAGAAAGGUUAAUGGAGACAACCAUCAGAAAAUAUCUUCGACGUGCGAAUAAAUUUAUUUUGGCUAUAUGUUCUUUAAUACGAAAACCCACUUAAGAGAAUUUUAUCACUUUAGGAUCCAUGAAGAAAACGUGUCCAAAACUGGUCCAAAUAAGUGUCCAUUAUGGGAUAAAUAAUGGAUUCUAAAAGGACGUCCAAGAGUGUGUCGUUCGACUGUCUAUUGGAUAUCCAUUGGACACCAUUUGGAUCAUUUUUAAAUGUCCAUAGGAUAGACAGUAAAUUUAAAAGGGAACAGCAUGAUCAGAAAUUAAACAUGGCCUAUUUUUAAAAUUUUUAACUAAUCGAACUUCGAUUAUUUCUCAGAUACUUAAAAUAAUUUUGAAGCCACUGGUAUUGAUAAAACAUUCUAACGACAGUAGGGGGAGGACUGAAAUGAGAAAAUGGGAAAUGAAAGUUGGGUCUGUCAGGGAGAAAAGAAAAAACUAGGACAAUUAGGUGUUUUAUGACCUAGGACGCAACUAUAUUCCCACUGACUCACUAGCUGCAAAGCUCCGGUUUGACCUGCAUAAUUUCUUGUCAAGUGGAAUAACGAUUUUAAUUUGGAAAUAGCUUAAUUGUCGUAACUGCAGCAAAUUAAGGUGUGUUUAGUUUCCUCCUGUAUUUGAUUGUACUAAGAUCUAAUUAUUAUUUAAAACUAAGAUUUGA